AUCAAAUCUAGGACUUCUGUAUGUUAUGAAAAGAGAAUUAUACGAAUUCUAGGUUUAGAAAUAUAAAAAUUAAAAGAAUAAACCCCAAAAGGCCACAGACCCAGGGCUAAGCCCUGCAGCCAGGACUAGCAGGCCAUAAAGAUAAAGGAGCACAGGAAACACUGUCCAGGCAGGACUGACAAGCCAUAAAGAAAAGGAAUGCAGGAACCAGCCUGAGUUAAUGGGACUGAUUCAUGAGACGUCUGGCAAGAAGACAUCUCCCCCCAGCUCACUCAGGGCCAUCCUCCAGACCCUGAUAAGCCCCUGACUUCUAACACAUACUCUUUCUGCUUUGUUCUCACUGCUAUGUUUAAAUGAGCCAAUUGUAUGUAACCACGCCAAAACCCCCUAGCCUUCUCUAUAUAACCCUCUGACUUUUGAGUUUCGGGGUCGACACCUCUGUCUCCUGCGCGGGAUACGUGUCGGCCCGGAGAUCUCUGUAAUAGGUCUCCGUAAUAAACCUCGCCUUUGCUUAUUACAUCCAAAAUGGUCUCUCUGUGUCUGGGGUCCGCGAUUUCCCAAGACUUGAGUAAGGGUCUCUCUGCGUGGGAUUUUUCAUAAUGGGGGCUCGUCCGGGAUCUCCGUGACGACCCCAGACUCCGAAGACCCCUUGGAGACCUUCAACUCUUGCUCACAGAAAGAGGGUGCUCAUUAGGAGAAGUUCUUUAAGGAGCCUGCCUUAUCUGCUGGCCCUAUUCCAAGAGAGGAGUCAGUCUCCAGCAUUAAAUUACUUUUCUCACUGGUCAUCAUUAACAUAGAGAAUGCCUUUGAUCCUAUCCCCACAGCAGCCAGUUCCUGCCCCUGUGGUCGAAAUGUCCCAGGUUGGGGGGCAGAGAAGCCCCUAAAAUAGUUUCAAAAAAUCUACAACAAACUGUAAAGAACUUUGUUUUGUUUAGCCAGUCAGAAUUUAAAAUUCAGGCUUUGGCUGUGGCCAAGGUCAGGAUUAAUGUUUUCUUUUCCAUGGGCCUUUAGCCCACUGAGAAAGUUUGGUAAAGGGCUGCUACUGAGGUCCUGAAAGCCCCAGGUGAACUGGUUACAAUUCUUUUGUCAGCUGCUUAGUAUCUAACACCCAGGUUCUAACCGUCUCUCCACCCUUUUGUUAUUAGUUCUUACUGGAAGCCUAGUGCCAUUUAGAGGAUGGGUCUCUUGAGCGAUAAAGCCACUGAGCUGGCACUAAAGGGAGGUACUCCUUAAGGGAAAAAUCUAAGUCCAGAGAGACAACCGGUAACAGAUAGACUGCCCCUCUGCUCACUUUUCUGUUUCACAGACACAAGGCCUUUUUGUCCCAAGAAAGCCUCCUGGCUUAGCUGUGUGACUAAAUGCUAUUUGCCCUCUUCAGUGGACCUCUAUUCUCGAGAUUCCCUUGUUUUCUCACCAUCCCAUUUAAGAUGCUUGUUAGUAACUGUUACAGGUCUUCUUUACCACCGAGGAAAGACGGAAUCCUACUAGAGGCCAGAAAAAAUGUUCCAGACACGGAUGGAAGGCCCUCACUUCUGCCUGUUGACUUCAAAACGCCUAAAGGUAGGGAGUGCCAGGUCUGCCGCCAGACUCCAAGGGUGGGUCUCUGAGGGGCUAAAAAAUGCCCC
ensembl:lncRNA